GGCGGACGGGUUAGUAACGCGUGGGAACGUGCCCUUCUCUACGGAAUAGCCUCUGGAAACGGAGAGUAAUACCGUAUACGCCCUUUGGGGGAAAGAUUUAUCGGAGAAGGAUCGGCCCGCGUUAGAUUAGGUAGUUGGUGGGGUAACGGCCUACCAAGCCUACGAUCUAUAGCUGGUUUUAGAGGAUGAUCAGCAACACUGGGACUGAGACACGGCCCAGACUCCUACGGGAGGCAGCAGUGGGGAAUCUUAGACAAUGGGGGCAACCCUGAUCUAGCCAUGCCGCGUGAGUGAUGAAGGCCUUAGGGUCGUAAAGCUCUUUCGCCUGUGAUGAUAAUGACAGUAGCAGGUAAAGAAACCCCGGCUAACUCCGUGCCAGCAGCCGCGGUAAUACGGAGGGUGCGAGCGUUAAUCGGAAUUACUGGGCGUAAAGCGUAC
rnacentral:rRNA from 1 species